rnacentral:misc_RNA from 1 species
GAUGAAGAACGUAGCGAAAUGCGAUAAGUAAUGUGAAUUGCAGAAUUCAGUGAAUCAUCGAGUCUUUGAACGCACAUUGCGCCCCCUGGUAUUCCGGGGGGCAUGCCUGUCCGAGCGUCAUUGCUGCCCUCAAGCACGGCUUGUGUGUUGGGCCCCGUCCCCUCCCCCGGGGACGGGCCCGAAAGGCAGCGGCGGCACCGCGUCCGAUCCUCGAGCGUAUGGGGCUUUGUCACCCGCUCUGUAGGCCCGGCCGGCGCCAGCCGACACCCAACUUUUAUUUCUAAGGUUGACCUCGGAUCAGGUAGGGAUACCCGCUGAACUUAAGAAUAUCAAUAAGCGGAGGA